UACGUAGGUGGCAAACGUUGUCCGGAUUCACUGGGCGUAAAGCGCGCGCAGGCGGAUUGGUCAGUCUGGGGUGAAAUCUCUCGGCUCAACUGAGAGAGGUCCCUGGAUACUGCCAGUCUUGAGGGGCUCAGAGGAGAGUGGAAUUCCGCGUGUAGUGGUGGAAUGCGUAGAUAUGACAUAGAACACCAAUUGCGAAGGCAGCUGGCUGCGCGAAUAUUGACACUGAUGCACGAAAGCGUGGGGAUCAAACAGG
rnacentral:rRNA from 1 species